rnacentral:piRNA from 1 species
CAUGUUAGAUCUUAAAGAACCCACUGC